rnacentral:rRNA from 1 species
GACGAACGCUGGCGGCGUGCUUAACACAUGCAAGUCGAACGGGUGCCCAUCAGGUAGCAAUACCUGGCGGGUGCUAGUGGCGAACGGGUAAGUAACACGUGAGAAACCUGCCUCGAAGACGGGGAUAACAGUCGGAAACGACUGCUAAUACCCGAUGCCUCCACCGGACCGCAUGGUCUGGUGAAGAAAUGGAUUCCGCUUCGAGAGGGUCUCGCGGGCUAUCAGCUUGUUGGUGAGGUAACGGCUCACCAAGGCGACGACGGCUAGCUGGUCUGAGAGGACGACCAGCCACACUGGGACUGAGACACGGCCCAGACUCCUACGGGAGGCAGCAGUGGGGAAUCUUGCGCAAUGGGCGAAAGCCUGACGCAGCAACGCCGCGUGGGGGACGAAGGCUUUCGGGUUGUAAACCCCUUUCAGCAGGAACGAAAUUGACGGUACCUGCAGAAGAAGCCCCGGCUAACUACGUGCCAGCAGCCGCGGUAAU